UCCCGUGGCUUCUGGAGUCUUCUAGAUAAUAGAAAAUUGCACGACACGUUAAUAUCUCUAUGUAAACCCGACGUGUGGGCCUUUCUUUCGUAUUUCCUGAUAACCCCCUGCAGAAAUAGACAAACACCAAAACUCGUGGAAUUCUGUCAGAUAAAACCCUAAGUCUGGGUGUUGGUUGCAUUUGGAUCCUUUUCUAUGAUUAGUUGACGGUUAAAUGUGAGCAUUAAGGACCGUCAACAGUACCCCUAAUUCUACUAUCGGACACUUGUCCAUUUUUAUCUCUUGUCUCACUUUUUCUUUUCUUUCGUGGUUCCGGGCACUUGCCCCUUUUUAUUUCCUUGUAUCCUUUAUCUCUUUUUUUCUUUUUUUAGAGCACUCAUCUCCUGAAAUAAUAUAGCAAGUGGUAGUAACCAAGAUAACUCGAGCAUUUAUUUCACAGGGAAAAACAGAAAUAGGAGAAUGUUUUUGGCUAUUCUCUCCCGGAUUAGGAGUAGAAUACUUUUGGGUGGCUCUGGAGAUGGAAAUGAGUGGAUAUAUGUGGAUGCGUACUUCCGGAGUAGAAGCAGCAUGUGUGAGUGAACGUGCAAGUGAAUCUUGAUUUUAACCGCAUGACAAGCUCCUAAUGGUCUACACAGCUUGACCACACUCAAUGCUCAUAAGCAGUAAAAAGUAAAUGUGUGGCUCAAAGUCUAGCAAGCAUGUAUAUAUGGCUGUGGUAGGAAUUUAAACUCUCAUCAUACAGGAACUCAUCAUGUGUUAUUUUAAAGAUUUUCAAAGAUAAAAUUCUCUAGAAUUCUAGCAUCUCUAGGAACAUAUAAACAGCAGCUCAACCUUCCCAUAUCAUAUCCAUUAACAACUUAGACUUCAAAUCAAGUUCUCUUCCCACAAGUUCAGGUUUAGACCAACCUUUAAAUUAUAACAAUUAUGUCUAAACUUGAGAGAGAACUUCAAAUUUGAAAAUUAGGCAGAGCAACUAUUCAUCAUAUCCAUGCUAGAGUUUUAUUAAGAUUCAGUUUAGCAUAGCCACUUUAUUUAUUUAUUAAGCACACUAAGCAAAAGAUAUAUAUAUAUAUAUAUAAGCACAAAAUCUUUAUUUGGUUUUUCAUGGU
rnacentral:lncRNA from 1 species